rnacentral:rRNA from 1 species
UUUCCCUACGGGGGGCAGCAGUCGAGAAUCAUUCACAAUGGGGGAAACCCUGAUGGUGCGACGCCGCGUGGGGGAAUGAAGGUCUUCGGAUUGUAAACCCCUGUCAUGUGGGAGCAAAUUAAAAAGAUAGUACCACAAGAGGAAGAGACGGCUAACUCUGUGCCAGCAGCCGCGGUAAUACAGAGGUCUCAAGCGUUGUUCGGAAUCACUGGGCGUAAAGCGUGCGUAGGCUGUUUCGUAAGUCGUUUGUGAAAGCCGCGGCCUCAACCCGCGGACGGCCCUUGAUA